rnacentral:misc_RNA from 1 species
UACGGAGGAUGCAAGCGUUAUCCGGAUUCAUUGGGUUUAAAGGGUGCGUAGGCGGAAUAUUAAGUCAGUGGUGAAAUCUCUCAGCUUAACUGAGAAACUGCCGUUGAUACUGAUGUUCUUGAGUUUGGCUGAAGUGGGCGGAAUGAGGCAUGUAGCGGUGAAAUGCAUAGAUAUGCCUCAGAACACCGAUUGCGAAGGCAGCUCACUAAACCAAUACUGACGCUGAGGCACGAAAGCGUGGGGAGCAAACAGG